rnacentral:rRNA from 1 species
UACAGAGGUCCCAAGCGUUGUUCGGAUUCACUGGGCGUAAAGGGUGCGUAGGCGGCCGGGUAAUUCUGAUGUGAAAUCCCGCAGCUCAACUGCGGAACUGCAUCGGAUACUCUCCGGCUAGAGGAAUGGAGGGGAGACUGGAAUUCUCGGUGUAGCAGUGAAAUGCGUAGAUAUUCGGAAGAACACCAGUGGCGAAGGCGACUCACUGGACACAUAUUGACGCUGAGGUGCGAAAGCGUGGGGAGCAAACAGG